UCAGACUACUAUCACACCAAAAAAAGAGGCUUCACUUGGAGUGCUGCCACUGGAUGGGGCCUGACUUGUUUAUCCGGAAAGAAGUGACUUCCCUGGGAAGAAGGUUGCAUUUGUGAAAGCUUGUGCAGCAUUUCAAGGCUGCAUUCAGGUACAGGUCUUUGAAGAGUUUGCAUUGCUCUGUGAGUUACCAGAGGACUGCCAUCUUUAAUCCAAUUCAGACAGCAAUUCACCAGGCUUUGCAUGUGCUCAGGCCUGUUGCUCCUUAUCAGAGGCCCACA
rnacentral:lncRNA from 10 species